UCUAGUGGCGCACGGGUGCGUAACGCGUGGGAAUCUGCCCUUGGGUUCGGAAUAACAGUUGGAAACGACUGCUAAUACCGGAUGAUGACGUAAGUCCAAAGAUUUAUCGCCCAGGGAUGAGCCCGCGUAGGAUUAGCUAGUUGGUGGGGUAAAGGCCUACCAAGGCGACGAUCCUUAGCUGGUCUGAGAGGAUGAUCAGCCACACUGGGACUGAGACACGGCCCAGACUCCUACGGGAGGCAGCAGUGGGGAAUAUUGGACAAUGGGCGAAAGCCUGAUCCAGCAAUGCCGCGUGAGUGAUGAAGGCCUUAGGGUUGUAAAGCUCUUUUACCCGGGAUGAUAAUGACAGUACCGGGAGAAUAAGCCCCGGCUAACUCCGUGCCAGCAGCCGCGGUAAUACGGAGGGGGCUAGCGUUGUUCGGAAUUACUGGGCGUAAAGCGCACGUAGGCGGCUUUGUAAGUUAGAGGUGAAAGCCUGGAGCUUAACUCCAGAACUGCCUUUAAGACUGCAUCGCUUGAAUCCAGGAGAGGUGAGUGGAAUUCCGAGUGUAGAGGUGAAAUUCGUAGAUAUUCGGAAGAACACCAGUGGCGAAGGCGGCUCACUGGACUGGUAUUGACGCUGAGGUGCGA
rnacentral:rRNA from 1 species